ensembl:lncRNA
CCAGAUCUUGUACCUCUGUGUGGACAUUAAGGGCAUGGCAGAACGCCUCUUGCAUGGCAAGCAGAUGUAACCUUCUUCAUUUUGAAAAGCCACCUUCAAAAAAACAAGUGGAUAGAGCUGCAGGGAACAGAGGGGAUGCAUGACAGAUGCAAGUCCUGGUCUUUGAGCUCUGGACAGAGAACCAGACAGACUGACUCAGAUCACCAGGUGACCCCAGGCACAAUGGAAACGAGGAGAGUGCCCAGGGGAUUUACGGUGACAGACCUGGCUUCAGUAUUUCCAGAAUCAAAGAGAAGCAAAUCGCUCUGAGACAUCAAGCCCUCAGGCUGCAUGGCAGUGCCAAGCGUUGGCGUAUCAAAAAUGAUAAUGAAAACAGACUUUUCAAUGGAUACAAAGUUUAUCUACCAUAAAACACAGGAGCAGAUCUGCAGCAGGUACUGUGGUGUGGUAAUGCAUACCAGCGUAACAUAGCUCUGCGCUGGACGUGGCACAGGAAAAACUUGGCUCAUGCCAGCUUUUCUAUCAUUAAUCAGAAGUAACAUCUUUACAGACAAGCUCUUUGAAUUAAUUACAGCCUGAACGCUCUUCUCCAGGGCUUGAAAUGUUCACAGAAUCAUUUCUCUGUUUCCUUCAUUGUAAUAACAUCAAAGAUCAAACCACAAAACCUGUAUUUCUCCUUAAGCAAAUUGCACUGCACUUCAGGAGCAGAGAGCUGGCAGCACGAGAUGGCUGUAUCUUUCCUGCUGCUGCUGGUUGCUGCAAAGCAUUCAGCGUUGGCUGUGUUGAAAGAGAUUAACUUGUGCUGACAACACCCUGUUGGGGUGAAGUGCUGGAAUCCUGUGCUUGACAGCGAUCUUAAAUACCAGAAGUGUCUUUUUUUUGUCUGUACUUGGGGAAAAUUUCUCUAUGAGGUGCUUCAGGGUGCGUGUAAGCUAUGUGGGAGCAGAGGUGCCUGGAGUCACCUCCCACUCUGAGAUAGCUGCAUGGCAUGCACCCAUGCUUCAGCAUCAGCAGCACUCACCUAAGCCUCUUGCAUCUGGAGUUGAUGAACUCCAUAAGAAGGGUUUAAUUUGAAUGUAAUACAUAUAGAAGCAUCUGAAAAUGGCAUGAGCAGAUUCUGUCAAAGAGAUAAUAGAAACCAGGCCAACGUGGCUUUGCUUUGGUGACCAGGAUGAACUGGUCCUGCCCAGGAGCAGCUCAGCCCCAGCACAUGAUGUAGCAGCAGCACUCAAUACCUCUGCUAACUUUCGGAACCUGAGAUAUAACUGGAAAAAUAAUCAAAGCACAGAGGCACAGACUUAAACGAUGCAUGUUCAGGUGAUAAAGUGCAUCGCGGAAGGCAGCAGGCAUUUCCCUCUAUCAAAAUGCCUGUCCAUCUAGAUGGAAGAAAUUCAUAAAACCGCACAUAAUAGCAUUGCUGAAAGACUCCCCCAAAGCCAUAAAAUGCAGCUGAAAUUUGACAUGGUAUUUGGAGCUCAGAGCAGUGCUCCUUCCAAAUGGCUCUGCAGAGCUUCUCUUUUAUUAAUGUCUGGAGACGCUGCGUACCUUUUUUUUCUUUAAAAAAACAUUGUUAACAUCUCUCAAUUCCUGGCUGUAAACAUUGAGCUAUCUGUGAUUACAGCAAGAAGCGUGCACCCCAAUAAAGGCUUCUGUGUAACAUGGAGGUACUCGUCAUGCACAGAGGGGUCCCAUGGAUGGGUCAGCAUCACAGAGGGCUGCCAGUGGGGAGAUGCACCCUGUGCACAUUCCAUCACUGAGAGAACAUGCCUAGACUGAGAGGAAAGCUUAUCCCCUGGAAUUCAUCUCUGAAGUUCACUUAAAAUAACUAAUUACCUGCUUGAAAUUACAACGCUUGAAACGAUCAGGCAUUAUAAGCCUCCCUCAACCUGAGAAUAAAUAUUCAUCUUUCCAAGAUCGACAGAUCACUCC